CAAGUAUAUUUUCUUUGUUUUAAUUACUCUUAGCGAGGCCUUGUCUAUAACUGUCCAAAUCUAUUUAAUUUGUUUUUCUCUCUUUUUUGGAUGACCUAAGCAUGUUUCCUUAAAUUAUUAGUUUUAUAAACAGAAGAACAGAAAUGCAAGCAGAACAAACAGAAUUGGUAAAUCCCAUUUAACAGCCUCAAAGAGCAUAUUUAUCAUGGUUAUUAAAAGAGGUUGAAAUAAAACGGGUUAGAAAGACCGGACAAGGCUUGGCUUACGUGUGGUUUAGAAAGGUUUAAUUUGCACAUUAAGUAUCCCACAAAGUAUUAUACAUGUCACAACCAUUCAGCUGUGGUUUUCUCUUUCAAGCUAUGGAGAAAAAGAAGCCUUUAUACAGUAAAUCCUUUUAAAUUUACCAUAAGCAAUUUUUGGAUAAGGAGCUGUGCAAUAGAUUUUUAAAUAAUAAAAUGCAAAAAAAAAAAA